CAUCCUCUGAAUGCUCUGGGUCUGUAGUUUGUGGCUGUAAAGUUUCAUGAGGCUGUGAUUAUCCUAGAGGUCACCACAGGUCAUCUUAUAAAGUGAAGUCAAGUUUAAUAAAAUUGCCUCACUACAAUGAAUUGUCUACUAUGGGGACUAACAUCAUCACACAUUAACACAGUUGGGCUCAUUAGAUCCACAAGAGUCUCAGCUUUUCAGUGAUACCAAAUUUAUCUUAUUCCAAGACUGUUUAGGGACCCCAGUAUGCAGAAAUAUUCAAAUACACCAUUUUAGAAUAGGC